rnacentral:rRNA from 1 species
GACGAACGCUGGCGGCGUGCUUAACACAUGCAAGUCGAACGGAAAGGCCCUGCUUUUGUGGGGUGCUCGAGUGGCGAACGGGUGAGUAACACGUGAGUAACCUGCCCUUGACUUUGGGAUAACUUCAGGAAACUGGGGCUAAUACCGGAUAGGAGCUCCUGCUGCAUGGUGGGGGUUGGAAAGUUUCGGCGGUUGGGGAUGGACUCGCGGCUUAUCAGCUUGUUGGUGGGGUAGUGGCUUACCAAGGCUUUGACGGGUAGCCGGCCUGAGAGGGUGACCGGCCACAAUGGGACUGAGAUACGGCCCAGACUCCUACGGUAGGCAGCAGUGGGGAAUAUUGCACAAUGGGCGGAAGCCUGAUGCAGCAACGCCGCGUGCGGGAUGACGGCCUUCGGGUUGUAAACCGCUUUCGCCUGUGACGAAGCGUGAGUGACGGUAAUGGGUAAAGAAGCACCGGCUAACUACGUG